rnacentral:tRNA from 1 species
GGACAUAUGGCCGAGUGGUCUAAGGCGCUAGCUUCAGGUUCCGAUCAGAUCCGCUAGUCUUCGGGCGUGGGUUCGAAUCCCACUGUGUUCA